UCCCCGGUAGCUCAGCCGGUAGAGCGACGGGCUGUUAACCCGUGCGUCCGAGGUUCGAGUCCUCGCCGGGGAGCCA
rnacentral:tRNA from 1 species